UACGUAGGUGGCAAGCGUUGUCCGGAUUUACUGGGCGUAAAGAGCGCGCAGGCGGUCGUUCAAGUCGCGUGUGAAAGCCCCCGGCUCAACUGGGGAGGGUCACGCGAUACUGAUCGACUGGAAGGCAGGAGAGGGUAGUGGAAUUCCUGGUGUAGGCGGUGAAAUGCGCAGAUAUCAGGAGGAACACCAAUGGCGAAGGCAGCUCGCUGGGACGGUACUGACGCUGAGACGCGAAAGCGUGGGGAGCAAACAGG
rnacentral:rRNA from 1 species